AUUUAGGCCGGCUCUUGAGGAGAAAAUUGCAAUAAUAAUCAGUGAUUGCAACACGUUUUAGAAAAAUGAGAGAUUGAAAAAUAGAUUUACUGUGUUCACCAACAGAUUCACUGAAACCUAAGAGACAGUCCUGGAGUGUGGUCUAGCGAAGAAGAUGAUUCACUCGCAGAUAAUUUAGAAUGUUCCGUGGUUUUUGCUCUGAUGGAGUGUGAGGAGAUGAGAUGGGGAGCAUUAACUAUUGGAAGGAUCCAUUUUAAGGGCAUAUUAUAUCAGGAUCUAGAUAGAUAUCAGAGCAUCUUGGGAGAAAUAGGAAACAGGUGCAGAAACAGGGUUUCUCCUGCUGUGGCCUCAGAGCUGUUGGUUUUCUUCUGCCUCGUCCACUUCUCCAGGCAGAAGUACAUCAGCGGUUGAUUUCCCCAGAGCAAGAAAAGAAGCAGUAAAAGAUUUGAAGUGAUACGUGGUAGUGAUACAGGGAAACGUGCCUCGAAGCUGCAGAACUGUGGGCUGGUGGGGACACCGCUUCAUGACCAGUCACCAGUAAGAAAGGAGAAACAUGUUCCUGUAAAACAAAGUGCUUGCUCCACGGGUUAACCCUGGCAGCCUCUGGUGAAACCCCUUUAUUUAAAUAACCUUCCCUAAGCACCUGGUGGCUCUGUUGCUACAGGAAUCACUAGAAACUCCAUAGGAUGUAGGAAAACAUGACCUCCUUGAAAUUAGAGCAAAUGGUCACAAGAAGUCAUCUGGACGAGAAGAAAUGAUGGGUGCCUAAUAUGCCCUCUGAGACAAGUGGAAGUUGGAGGCACCAGACCCAGGCAGAGGUUCCAGGAUGCCAGGUCACAUUCGAGGUCUGGGAGGAGUAGUACCAGCUACAGAGCA